GCUUGCUUCAGCAGAGCAUAUAUUAAAAUUGGAAUGAAACAGAGAAGAUUAGCAUGGCCCCUGCACAAGAAUGACACACAAAUUUAUGAAGUGUACCAUAUUUUU
ensembl:snRNA U6 U6 spliceosomal RNA